UCCGGCGGGAGCGGGCGCGCUUUCCCCGCGCGUCUUCAGCGAUCGCCGCUGCCGGUGUCGCGGUCGCCACCACCUGCUCUGGAGGCUCGUAGAGCGAAGCCGCUACCAAGCCCCAACCAAAAGAAACCGAGAGUGUUGGAGUAGCCCGGCCGUGGCCCCGAACGGACUCACUCCCUCGUCUUCCAGACCCCCAAGUGCUGCGGAGAGGAAAUGACGGACACGCAGUGACCGUAGAGGGGCUCACGCCGAGCUCCCGGUUUCUCGAAUCUGGGGACUCGGCUGUAAAGGAGAGAGUCGUGCGGCGGUUCAGGGCUCGGGCACUCCGCCCCCUCUCUGCAUCCACGCCGCCUGGUGUUGGUUCGGGAUCCCAUCGUGUCCCGAGCCUAUGGACCGCACGCCGAGGGUGGCUGGUGGCCACCGAGCUGUGCAAGACAGGCGUUGCCUGCUGGAGCGUAGCUGUUAGGAGUGUGGCCUUUGAGGUCAGCGCUGGGUCGAAAUCACAUCCUAGCUGCGAGAUCUGGACUCUGAGUUGCCUCCUUGGAAGAAUAAGGAGGGUACGUCCAGAUUCACAGUCCGGUCCAGCUUUAAGCUGAGCCCGGGAAAUUAAUGACCCACAGUGUUUACCCCGAGAUCGAAAGCAGCAGCUCCCUCGGCUUGAAUUUCACACCACCUACAGAUACACAUCUCACAGCCGUGCGGUUAAAAAGACCUGGGCCGCCAGAAGUUAAGCAGCAUUCAGUUUGUCAUCAGCCAGUUUUUCCAGUUUUAAAGAGCCAAGAAUCAGCCUGGUAGCAUCAAAAGAACAUGAGCUUGGAAGUUGAAGGUAUGAGCUGGGGGAAGGAGCUGCUCACGUGCUCUUGAUUGAAAAAGGGUCUUCCUCUGUCAGCGAAGGUGAGAAACUGGUCCAGAGAGGUUAAAUGACUUGCACGUGGCCAAACAGCUCUACCAACCACCAGGGCAGAUGGCUUUUUCAUCUCGGUUGUCAAGCUCCAGUUCUUCCAGGGUGUUCGGUCCUGGCUGCUGCUUCCAGGAUGACUGACUUGGGGCCAGCAGGAUCCUGUCUGCCUGCUCCACUGUCGCGUCUGUGACAGCUCUUCGCAGCUCACUUCUUGGAAGCUCACACUCUCCUUCCAGACUCAGAGAAUGCAAUUCAAAGUGCUCGGGGAGCCUUUGAGUCAUACUCCGUCUGUGAAUCAACCUUCAUCCAUCUAUUCUGAACAGAGAGAUCUCAUCCUCCUCCAGUUUCUGGAACUGGAACCUGGUAUUUUUUCUUUUGGAUUCUGCAGAAUGAGUGUCUUUCACCUCCAAGUAUAUCAGGUUCCCCUCCCAAUUUCAGACUGAAGACUGAAAGUCAGAGGUGGAUAUAAGCAUCUAAUCUAAGAUCGUGGAGGGAACGCUUAAGACAACCUUGGAGGCUUAACAGGGGUUUCACAGCCCACGUCCUGUGAGUUGGCAGAGCCCCCUCACAACAGAAACUUCAUAAACCUCUCCAUGGCUAACUGGCGAAGGUGGACAUAUAUGCAGACAGCUUGCUGGUCAAAUGCCCUGGGCAGCUAGAAGGAUGUAGAUGACCAUCUGAAUCCAAGAAGCAGGGAAGUUACCAUGGCUACUAAGAGCUGUAAUCAUUGGCUGCUUUAGCUAUGGGGACCAACUCAGCUGACCUCUCAAGUUCCCUUCCAGCCCUGGGAUUCUACAAUUACAAUUACACUGAACCAGCUGAGACCAUGUCUGCUGCAAGGAAAUAGGAAGUCCUGUGACACAUAAGGCUCAGGCAUAGGAAGGAAAGAUUUCAUCAGAAGUAUCUUAGAGGUCACCUUGUCUUAUUCAUCAGAAGCCUUGAGUCACAAGCCUGCUUUCUACCUCUGCUGCAUUUAUUAGUAAACAGAGCCUUGCUUUUUUGGGGUAUAGGAUUUUAAACCUCUUACAGAGUGAGUUCACUACCACAUUUAUUUCUCUUCCUUUUGCAGCUCUGGCCAGUAAUUUUAAUAGAGGUUUGCUUUGUAUUGUGACCAGGGAAACAGCCCAGAAAAACUUGUGUCACUGGGCUCAGGGGGUGUGCCCUAUCAGACAGGACGCCUGUGUCACGAGCCUUCUAAGAAUCUGGAGGAAGGAAGUCACUCAUAAAGAAGGCAGAUGCUGAAAUGCAACUUUGGUUUCCUCUUGCAAGUCCUUUGAUUAUAGGAAUGUGGCUUUCUUACUCCACAGAGGGGGUGGAUUUCACUUUAAAACUUGCUACCAGAAGCUCCCCUACCUUUCCGAGUCAGGACAGAGCAAGGCAGUGGCUAUAUUCUCCACACCAGAUGAGAUCACAGGCCCAGCUGCACCUCCCUCAAGACCUGACCUCCGGACAGAGAAGUCUGUAGGUAUCUACAUGACUUCAAAGAGCAUGGGACAUACCCAGGAAAUCAGAGUUCUGCUAAUACUUACAGAGAGAGUUGCCAACCUUUCCUUAUCCCUGAUGCAGGAAGCUUCAUGUUUAGCAGAUGUUUGGAGAUUUAAAAAAAAAAUCUGCUUAUGUCAAGAUGAAAUCAAAGCCUUUAUUAAACAUUCCUCCUUCAAACAGCCUGCAUUUAAACCUAUGCUCCUCCCCAGACUCGUGAACUGCCAGGGCCACGUGAAUGUUGUUUUCAUCUGACGGCCAGAUCCCACCAGGCAGCACAAGCAUGAAAAGCCAAGCCUAGCCACACCCCACUUGACACACCUCUCCACUCCUGUACCCACUCAGGAUCUAGGCAAAAGUCUGAUGGUGCCGACUCUCGAAUCAGAGCUCAAGCACAGAAGAAGAGGAACCAGAAGUCUGACCCCACUUGUUCCAGACCAAAUCCCACUAAGCUGGUUAAUCAGCUCUCUGGCCACCAUCUGGUAAGGCCUGCGCAUGUGCUUUUUCUUCUCUUCUCCAAAGAAAAGGGUGAGAGAUGGAGGAGGCAAUUUUCAGUUGUGUGUGGGCUUGAGUUAAGGCUUUGGCUGUGGUCUGUUGAUAUAUUAAAAUACUUUCUGGGAACGCCAUCUCCUAAGCUCCCCAUCAGAACAAAUGUAUUUUCAAAAAUGAAAACAUUGAACAAAGAUGUGGAGCCGAAACACUGACAUAGAGCUCGGUGGGCUGGGCCAGGCCCAUCAUGUCAGGAUGGUGUCAUCCACCUGCUCCGCUGAGUCGGCCUGGCUGGCCAGCUUCUUCAGGGACCUUCGGUGGCACUCAUUCAGCACCUCCAAACUGGCCACAUCCAGGAUCUUGGAGAGAGACUGUGAGGAAAGGUGGGAAAGAGGAGAGGUGGUCAGAAAACAGGGCUUUGGAUUUCUCUAAUCCAAGACAAAAAUGAGUGUUCACUCAGAACUAGAGUCAUGAGGUGGAAUUUGGCAAAAUAGGGGAAUCGGACUGAUCUGGGGAAAGCAAAGUGUUCAGCUUGCUUUUCAUGGGGUAAGGUGGUAGUUUUCAGGGCCUAGGGUUGCUAGCAGAAAGGUGGCCGAGGGGACAGGACUGUGGGCUUCAACAGGACAGUUUGACCUGGGUCUUGUCUGCCAUGUUUGGGUGCCACAUGAGAUUUUAUUUGAAGAAAGGGCUCAGCUGCUCAAAGAAGUCUGAAAACCACAGGAGCAGAGGAAUAUGUGUUUUCAGACAGUAGACCAGGCACCUGAAUCACCAUCUGCUUCUCAAAACUAACACAUAUGUGGUGGCAGAGAAAGGAGUAUGACACCUAAAUAUUGUCAUGCAGAAGAACUGCAAAAUGAAUGCUCGCAGCAAACAGAGAGAGACAGAAAGUAAAGUACCAGUUAUGGGGAGGGGUGGGGGGUAGAAGAAUUGCUGCAUAAUGGUGCAGAGUUUUUUGGGGGGUUGAUGAGAAAGUUCUGGUAAUGGAUGGUGGGUUAAGGGUAGCACAAUAUUGUAAAUGUGAUAAAUCCCACUGAACUGUAUGCUUGGGAGUAGCUGAGAUGAGAAAGUGUAUGCUGUAUAAGCAACUAAAGAGACAGUGACAAUUAAAUGGAUAAAAGAUCUGGAUGGGAUCUAGCAAGGGAGGAGAAAAGGGUCAAAGGGAUAUUAUUGGGACAUAUGAAAAAAUUGGAAUAUAUACUGAAAGCUUUGUAUCAAUGUUAAAGUUCUUGAACUUGAUAACUCUAAGGUAGUAACAUAAGUGAACGUCCUUGUUCUUAGGAAAUGUACACAAAAGUAUAAUGUGGUCAAGGAGCAUGAUGUAUAAAACCUACUUUCAAAUAGUUAGAAAAUACAUAAAGGAGAGACAGAUGGACAGACAGACAGACAGAUAAAAGGACUACCAGAUGGAAUGAUAAACAGAUUGAUAGACGAUGGAUAAAAUGAUAUAACCAGUGAUAAAAUGUUAGAACUUUGUAAAUCUGGAGGAUCUGGAUAUAGCUAAGGUACUUUGGUGUUCCUAUAUUGGUUCUGUGUUAAUUUUGCAACUGUCCUAUAAUUUUGAAAUUAUUUUAAGAUUAAAAGUUUAAGAAGAGAAAAAACACAUGCGGGCAGCGUGCCCUGGGGAAGGCACUCAAGUCCCAGGUUCCCACCUGAAACACCUCCUCGCCCUGCCUCAUCUUGAGGAGAUUGACAAUUGCCUGGUCGCUGUAGGCCCUGACGACGGUGUUUUUAUCCUUGGUGUUGUCAAGAAGCGCCUUCAGAAUGGGUUUGAUG